rnacentral:rRNA from 1 species
UACGUAGGGUGCAAGCGUUAAUCGGAAUUACUGGGCGUAAAGCGUGCGCAGGCGGUUUUGUAAGACAGGCGUGAAAUCCCCGGGCUCAACCUGGGAAUUGCGCUUGUGACUGCAAAGCUGGAGUGCGGCAGAGGGGGAUGGAAUUCCGCGUGUAGCAGUGAAAUGCAUAGAUAUGCGGAGGAACACCAAUGGCGAAGGCAAUCCCCUGGGCCUGUACUGACGCUCAUGCACGAAAGCGUGGGGAGCAAACAGG